rnacentral:rRNA from 1 species
GACGAACCGUGCGAACGUUGUUCGGAUUCACUGGGCUUAAAGGGCGCGUAGGCGGGCGGUCAAGUCGGGGGUGAAAUCUUUCAGCUUAACUGGAAAAGUGCCUCCGAUACUGAUCGUCUUGAGGGAGGUAGGGGCAUGUGGAACUUCCGGUGGAGCGGUGAAAUGCGUAGAUAUCGGAAGGAACGCCGGUGGCGAAAGCGACGUGCUGGACCUCUUCUGACGCUGAGGCGCGAAAGCUAGGGGAGCAAACAGG